rnacentral:tRNA from 1 species
UCACCCGAUGACUGAAAGUAAGUUUAGAUCUUUUAAAUCUAUUAUAGUAUAUUAACGUCUACUUCUGGUGA